UACGGAGGAUGCGAGCGUUAUCCAGAUUUAUUGGGUUUAAAGGGUGCGUAGGCGGGCUUUUAAGUCAGCGGUAAAAAUUCGGGGCUCAACCCUGUCCGGCCGUUGAAACUGGGGGUCUUGAGUGGGCGAGAAGAAGGCGGAAUGCGUGGUGUAGCGGUGAAAUGCAUAGAUAUCACGCAGAACCCCGAUUGCGAAGGCAGCCUUCCGGCGCCCUACUGACGCUGAGGCACGAAAGUGCGGGGAUCGAACAGG
rnacentral:rRNA from 1 species